GAACAAGUGGUGUAAUGGCAGCACACACCUUUAUCGGUGCUUGAGGCUCAGGUUCGAUUCCUGACUUGUUCU
rnacentral:tRNA from 1 species